rnacentral:rRNA from 1 species
UACAGAGGUCUCAAGCGUUGUUCGGAUUCAUUGGGCGUAAAGGGUGCGUAGGCGGUGGGGCAAGUCAGGUGUGAAAUCCCGGAGCUCAACUCUGGAACUGCACUUGAUACUGCCUUACUAGAGUACUGGAGAGGAGACUGGAAUUUACGGUGUAGCAGUGAAAUGCGUAGAUAUCGUAAGGAAGACCAGUGGCGAAGGCGAGUCUCUGGACAGUUACUGACGCUGAGGCACGAAGGCCAGGGGAGCAAACGGG